GAGGAAACCGGUGAGAUCCCGGUGCGGUCCCGCCACUGUGACCCCCACCCGGGGGUGAGCCAGACACUC
rnacentral:ncRNA from 2 species